UAAGUAAACUAGGUGCCAAAGUAAUUAAUUUAGUCUUAUCCAUUACAUAAAACCAAGAAUAAAGAUCUUGGAUUUUUUGUAUUUCUUGCUCAUGAAGUAAAAUUUAAUAAUAGAUAAUUUUGCAAUCAAUAGCCUAUAAAUUAACCAAGUGUGCCGUGGGAAAAAUGGGAGAGGAAAAAAAAAAAUCAGAAAAUUUAUUCCUAAAAGCAAAUUUCUAAAGAAAAAUUCUAAAAAAACCCUACAAAAAUUCCUAAAAAUUCUCAAAAAUUUUCUAAUAAUAGUAUUUAGUGUUAAUUAUAGAAAUUCAAGGAGAGAAAGCUAAUUUUGUGGCUAGAAAUUCUACAACAAAGGGAAUUAAUUAAUAGUGAUAUUAUUAAAGAUGCUGCAGGUAAUUUUACAUGAAGUUAUUAAGAAGCUAUUGUAUUGUCUAUAUGAUGUUAGUAUAUAUGUAGUUUAUAUUACGAGUAUGUAAAAACGAUAAUUAUGUAUUAAAGAAAGAUGUAAUACGUAAAAUUAUAUUUUAAUGAUUUAAGUUUUCUUUGUUUUUAUUGAAAAUUCUGUUUUGUCUUAUUUGUUUUUCGCAAUAAUCACGGUACGAUAGACUUCCGCUUAGCAUUACUUACUAUUAUAUUACAUUAAACCUAUAUUUGGAAAAGGAAUGUCCGUUACAUCCUCCUUCUCAACGCAAUGCACCUUCUGCUGGUCUUCUUGGUCCGCGACCGGCACAAAGUUAUCACACCGGGACUAGUGCUUCUAUGAAUUAUAUUCCUACGGCCAUCGAUCAUGCUAUGAACACUCUCUCUUUGUCUACUCCGGAUGAGCAAUUUUACAUGGAUACCGGUGCCACAUCCCACAUGACUCGAUCUCAAGGAUUUGGCCACGAGGAGCAUCGUUCUGAGGUCUAAUAGCACGGGUGAUCUUUAUCCUUUUCCAUCUACACAUGGAGCUUCUCAUACUUCCUCCACAUCAUCAGCUUUUUCCGUUUUUUCUUCUAGUAUUUGGCAUUCCCGUUUAGGACAUCUGGGCAAUGCAGUUUUAAAUUCCUUGUAUUCUUCUUGUUUAAUUCAAUGUAAUAAAGAUCCUCAUUUUGUUUGUCAUUCAUGUCCUUUAGGGAAACACAUUCAAUUACCUUUUGUUAAUUCUAUGUCUAUGAGUUCUAAGCCUUUUGAUAUUGUUCAUAGUGAUUUGUGGACAUCUCUUUCUAGUCCAU